CCCAGACAUUUGGUAAUAAGGCCCUACACCAAGUUCAGAGACUCAUUCCUAUAGGGCUUGUGUCUCUGAACUUGGUUUAGGGCUUUGUCAGUGAACUGAACUCAUCACUCAUUAGAGCAUCCAGGCUCUUUUAUGUGGGCCCAACAGAAGGGCACCUUCCCUGCAGUUUAAGCAUGAUCCAUGUGGAGUAAUUCAUCCUGGUCCCUGCUCUUCUCUUCAAAUGGUAACAGUUAUUCCCUCCAGAUCCGUGGAGCUACCCUCAUCUUACUCUCAGCAUGCAAAUGAAGGAGACCCCUAUCUGACAAAUAGAGAAGGUUGGACAUCAAGAAGGCAGCAUACAAUCCACGGUGUCAACAUCAGUGUCUGCCAAGCAUCAGUGACUGACCUGGCGGUCAUUUCCUGUGUACGUGUGAAUGUGGUGGUUAUACCCGGUGGCAACAGCUGGAGCACUGUGACCCUCCCCAAUUCCGUCAACAAACCUACUAGAAACCAUCUGAAGAAGAAAUGAGUCCUGGUUAUUCACCAUUUCCACAACACCUUCUGCUAGGACGAAGAAAGCACGUGUGUCAAAAUUUACAAAAAUGGAUUUUAACCCCUUAGAGUUCACUUUGAAAGAAGGAUCUAACAUCUUACCCUUGAUGGCAGAAAGGACGAAAUUAUGUAGAAAAACGUGGACACAAACAACCCCAAGUGAAAGAGUGACACAGAAGAGUUGAAUUCCAAGUAUAAAGAAGUUGGCUUAUGUUUUUCCUUUUUAUACAUGCGCUAGAAUUAUAAAUGAUACAAUUUCACAUCUAAAAAUGUCUA